rnacentral:rRNA from 1 species
AGUGAACGCUGGCGGCAGGCCUAAUACAUGCAAGUCGAACGGCAGCACAGUGGAGCUUGCUCCAUGGGUGGCGAGUGGCGGACGGGUGAGGAAUACAUGGGAAUCUGCCCAGUCGUGGGGGAUAACGUAUGGAAACGUACGCUAAUACCGCAUGCGCCCUUCGGGGGAAAGUCGGGGACCGCAAGGCCUGACGCGAUUGGAUGAGCCCAUGUUCGAUUAGCUAGUUGGCGGGUAACGGCCCACCAAGGCGACGAUCGAUAGCUGGUCUGAGAGGAUGAUCAGCCACACUGGAACUGAGACACGGUCCAGACUCCUACGGGAGGCAGCAGUAGGGAAUAUUGGACAAUGGGCGCAAGCCUGAUCCAGCCAUGCCGCGUGAGUGAAGAAGGCCCUCGGGUUGUAAAGCUCUUUGUUGGGUAAGAAAAGCAGUUGGUUAAUACCGAUUGUUCUGACGGUACCCAAGAAUAAGCACCGGCUAACUUCGUGCCAGCAGCCG